AUCAGCCUUCAUGGGGAGUGGUCAUCUCCUGGCCAAUGACUGACAGAUCCAGCUCCCUCAAAUCUUAAGGGAUGAGACAAUGGUCUGUAAUGCUCUAAUCUCUAGAACAGUUUGGAAACAUCAACCUAAGAGCUUAUUGGACAUUACAGCACACACCUGUGAUCCAGGCACUUAGGCCAUUUCCGGUCCAGCUGAAGGAUUGUUGAGAGCCUGUGAGGCCAGCCUGGAACACAGAAGUAUCAGGCCAGCAUGCCUACAGAGCAAGAUCUGGUUGCAAACCCCAGUCCUCCCCAACAACAACAACAACAACAACAACAACAACAACAACAACAGAUCUCAAGAGGAACUGAAAUGAGGGCUGUGUUCUGAUUUGUUACCACCAGGUGGAGACCACACAAAACAAAAGCAUUUCCCCGA